CCCAUCAUUACACAGGAAGUAUGUUGGUUAACUUUGACUAGUUUCAGUUUUUAGAUCAUGUCAAUCAUUUUAACAUCAAUUGUUCAAAUGGAGAACUUCAGUGAAUAAAUCGACUAUAAUUGUUUACAUUUACAUUUAGUCAUUUAGCAGACGCUCUUAUCCAGAGCGACUUACAGUAAGUACAAGGACAUUCCCCCUUUACUUUUACUUUUGAAAAUAUCUUACCCAGGUGGAUUUUCAUCUUUGGUUCUGCAGUGUUGCUAUUUUCAACAAAUCGACCUUACAUUUACAUUAUUAAUGACUUUAUGACUUCCAAAAGAGUGCUUUGCAAAGGUCAAUGAUCAUAAACCUUGUGAUUGACCCCAUGUUUGCUUUUGAAUCCAACUGAGUCAUGUUCCUUAGAUAAGGUACACCACAUAUGAAUCCAACUGAGUCAUGUUCCUUAGAUAAGGUACACCACAUAUGAAUCCAACUGAGUCAUGUUCCUUAGAUAAGGUACACCACAUAUGAAUCCAACUGAGUCAUGUUCCUUAGAUAAGGUACACCACAUAUGAAUCCAACUGAGUCAUGUUCCUUAGAUAAGGUACACCACAUAUGAAGUAAAUGAACUCACUGGCAGCAUUGCGUUGAAGAGGUGAGUGAUGAAUGACGCUCCGUGCUGCACUGCUUCCUCUGCCUGGGUAAGGUUGGCCACUGAGUGUCCUACAU